AGCCUAGUGGGUCACAGAGGCCAAGACGGGCCUCCAGUGCAAUUUCACAUCAAGAUUGGCUUCCGUCUGUGACUUUCCCUCAAAUGUCCUCACUGUGUACUGACAGGUAUUGGCUUCUUUCUCUUUUGACCAAAAUCCACUGUGGGGAGUAAGGCUAGUCCUGCAAAGAAUUUCAGAGAUUUUAAGAAGGCAGAAGCCUUACUUCUCACAUCGAAUGGAGAAUUCCAAGAGUGUGAGUUGGGAGACCUUCAGGACCAUUGGAAUGGGUGUGGAGAGGCAUCCCUUUUCUCUUAAGGUGUCAAGGAGCUAGAUCUUCUUGGCAUUUCCACUCAAGCUUAAUUUCUAGUCCUCCUCAUGUGUGCACCUCAGUGCUGAUUUAGUUGUUUUUCUCAUCCACAGGGAUCACAAGAAGCUCUGGGGUCCAGAUUUUACUCGGUCGCCCGUCACCCAACCACGUGUGCAAAUACUUGUAUGCAGAUAGAACUCGAGUUUGUCCAAAGACCAAUCAUCUCUGAAUGUCUUCUGCUAAGAAUUUAAUAUAUAUAUAUUUCUAUUUAGCCCUCUAGGCUAAAGUCUGGGUGGAACCAUGGCCAGAGGAAGUGACGCCGUGUGACUUUUUGAAACGUCUACUUUUGGAAAUCAUGCUGUGAAGAGACUUGAUCUCAGGAUCUUUCUUGGAACUCUUGGAAAUUUCAGUCACCGGGAAACGGCAUGGGACUGUUCAGUCAUUAGGAUGCUACUUGGACAUUUUAAGACGGAAACUAUGUUGUGGGUCUGGAGACGGUUCUGCAAUCUUGUAACGACUUUCGCCUAUACACAACAGAAUGCAGUGGUAAAGAAACCAUGGACCAAGUGGGCUGUUGGGCAGAGGAGUCCCCACGGAGUUGGCCCUUUAUGUAUAUUGCCUCUUUGAAUCCUUAGGUGAUUAACUCGUGGAAAUCAACAGCUCCAGGGCCAGCUACCAUUGGAGGGGACAGUCAGGCCUAGCUCUUAGAAACCUGGUGACACUUAGGAAGUUUGACUGCAAAGCCUCCCCUGCUCUCUGGCUCUCUGAGACCCACCUCAGCCCUGUGGGCCAAGCACCCAUGUAUCUCUCCUGUCAGGAGAAAAUAAAAUGUCUGGUGAAGUUAUUCA
rnacentral:lncRNA from 1 species